CUCUUCGAUGUCACAGUGGUGGUGUGUUCAUCAUCAGAGAUAUAAAAUGGCGUUUUGAGUUCUUCGGUUAUUCUUCGCUCAGUUAUUCAUUAUAAACCGUGCAUAUAAACUAUAAUAGUGCUUUGAAUGCAUUGUCGCAAGAAACCAACGAGCUUCUUCACCAAGUUGUAAGUUUCUUAGAACAAAUAAAAAAUUAAACUGACAUGGCAUUUUACGAAGGAAGGAAAUGAAACGAAUCAGAAAUGUAACUAAUAAAGCAUUUAAUGAAGAAACUAAAAUUCUUUCCACCAAGUUGUAAGUUCCUUAGGACAGAUGAAAUUAAACUGGCAUGAAAUUUUAUGAAGAAAGAAAUUAAAAACGUAAAUAUUAAAGGUAUUAGGAUCACUUAUUCGGAAACCAUUCGUCAAGUUUUAUUUUCUUCAGCCACACCAACCAAUUGACUGAAUCAAUCUACUAGCACACCAAAAUAAUUGGAAACUUCCGGGUUAAACACUCAGAACAUUUUUAAAGUUUAUACUCAUUUGGAGAUUGACAUAAGCACGAGUUGCUUAGAAUCGUUUUCCCCAGUUGUAUCAGGAUCAAUUAUCCGGAAACCACUCGUCGUGUCUUAUUUUCUUCAUCCAGUAGAAUCAAUUGAUUGAAUCAAUCACUAGCACACCAAAAUCAUUGAAAACUUCCGAGUUAGAACUCUCAGAACAUUAUUAAAGUCUAUACUCAUUUGGAGAAUGACAUAAGCACGAGUUGCAUAGAAUUGAUUUGCCCCAGUUGUGGACUUUCAUAAGUAUUUAGUAUGCAAUUUGUAACAAUGUAAUUUAUUCCUUCAAUAGUAUAUACUCACUUGUGUACAUGUUUAAUUGUCCCAACUAAGGUUUAUAACCUGCUGCUCCUGAAACAUUGGAGUUGAUGAAUUGACAAUUCUAACACGUAUCUAAAGGCUUAAUUAUUGAAGAUUACCCAUUACGGUUUUUAUGUAGUUCAUGAGGCUUAUUUAUCUCUUAUGGGUCAAUUGAAUUUAAGACAUUUUCUUUUUACCUUAUCAAGGGUUCAAUAGGUCAUUUUAAUGUUUUUAGUUUAACAUAUGACACUGGACAGUCAUUUCAUUUAGUUGUGUUGACUAAUUUUACCUAAUUUUUAUCCUCGAUGGAUUAUAAAUCCUAUUUAAUAUCUGUCCAUGAGGAUUUUCGUUAAUUUUUCAUUAUUUCAUUCUAAGGUUAUGAUUGUAAAUAAGUAACUGAUGUUUAUAAUAAUUUCAUUCUGUCUCCUUGGUUCUUUGCUUCAAAGAACUUCAAAGAAUCUCUCAAAAUAUUUUUCACUAAUAAUGAUAUCAUUUUUUUUAUUUGCUUUCUGAUUAUUUAUUUUAUGGUGUUGUAUGUAUGCUAGCAGGGUUUCUGUGUUAUUUAUAUUAUGACAAUAUCAUUCAAAUUUACUGUGAGUAAUCCUCUAAAUUUCUGUGAGUGAUAACAGUAAUUAUUCUUAUUCAUUAUCUGUUAAAAUUUUGUUUUCAGAUUUAUCAGUUUACCAAGCAUUGUGGUUAUUGUUGAUUCUUUUUUUAAGCAAAUAGUCAUAUAAAUGUCGCACCAACAAGGCCAACAUUUGUUGGACCUUAUAGAAUUCCCGUAUAUGGCCAGGUUUGUAACUGCUCAUGCGCUGCUACUGUAGUUCUACCUAGGCUGCCAAUCCUUUGAGUGUGUACCUCUUUUUAGGUAAACAAUGUGUUACUUCAAAGGGUCCGUGAUACUUU